rnacentral:rRNA from 1 species
UACAGAGGUCCCGAGCGUUGUUCGGAUUCACUGGGCGUAAAGGGUGCGUAGGUGGUGGGGUAAGUCGGAUGUGAAAGCUCGGAGCUUAACUCCGAAACUGCAUUCGAUACUGCCGUGCUUGAGGACUGGAGAGGAGACUGGAAUUUACGGUGUAGCGGUGAAAUGCGUAGAUAUCGUAAGGAAGACCAGUGGCGAAGGCGGGUCUCUGGACAGUUCCUGACGCUGAGGCACGAAGGCCAGGGGAGCAAACGGG